UCAACACCAUUCGAUGUGAUGCUGUGCACAUCAUACGCGAAAGACCAUGCAUUGCUAGUUGGUCAAUGGACUUUUUAAGAAGACGGUAAUCAAUAGAAAUUUCUACCGGUAGUUUCGGGAUUGGCAAUGUUGUAGAUUCAUUGGUUGAUGCACAACGUGAAGAUGGAUCAAGAGAGAACGAAGAAAUUGACAUUAAGAGAUACUUGGAUGAAGUCGAACACACUUUCAGUAUGUUGAAGACAUUGAAGAGUGAUUUCGAUGGGAUUCUAAAGAAAGGGAGGACUAGAUACCCCGCAUCUGUAGAGUCUGAUGUUUGGCAAAAAAAAAGUUGAUAGAUUUGGUAGUAAAUGACAAAAUGGACCGUGAUACCUCAAUGAACAUGUCAGUUGCCAAAAGUUGUGGAACAAAACAAGCAUCAACUAGUGAUCCAUGACAAGGUGUUAUGGAUGGCGCACAAGAGAUUGUUGAGACACCGACACAAUUCUUCUCAAAUCCAGAAACAAUUAAGGGGGUUGACAAAAUAAUUAAAGUAUAUGAGAAGUUACAGAUGCCGGAUUUUAGUUUAGGUCUCACUCAAGAGUUUGAAGAAGUUGUUGAUCCGAAGGAAAAUGCUCCUAACAGAGAUGACAAUGAUGUGGUUCCUAAUGUGAAACCAAUAAGUGAGAUAGAUAUACACCGGUCCCAUUGGUCGAAGAGCUUCAAAGGCGGGAGGAAAAAUAUGUUCACCGUAUAUGAAUAGAAAAGUGGACGCACACCGACCUAACACAAAAGUUGAGUUAAUCCUUUCUAACCUAAUAUUCGCUAUGGAAGGCUUUUAGAUGGACUCGAUAUACUUAACAUCGGAGGGGUCAAUAUGCACCACGUUAUAUUUUCGAAAGCAUGGUUGAUGAUACUUUCAUAUUUCGGGGGUGUGAUCGACAUAUGGACAACAAUGUUGAACAAUAAUGAACAAUACAGAAGCAAGUCUUCCCCUCGAAGGUAUGUGAUAUUAAUAUUUGAUCACUUAAUAUAAAUUUCUUUGUUAGAGUCACUGAUUUAACAUUAUCACUUAACAAAAAAGACGGACGACAUGCUACCACUAAAAUUGAGCUACGGAAGCAUGUAUACUAUGUUUGAAACCAGCUUGGAGGCCGCAAUGAAAAACCAUAAGGAGCUAGCAACCUUAAGGAAUGUAGAUAUGGUAUAUUUUCUUUAUAAUUAUACGAACUAUACAAAUAUUAAAUAAGGUGCGACAUAAAUGGUUGAAAUAUACUAAUGGCGUUCAUUUGCAUAUUUUUUUUCCCGAUCCGAAGGCGAAGUCACUUAUACCUAAUUGUGUUCAACCUGAAAAAUACGGGCUUCUUAAUAAUCGAUAACACAAACAGAGGUUGACAUAGGAAGCAAGUAUGGGGAACUACCACCACAAUUGGUAAGCGUUUACGAACUUUAUCACAUAUGAUAAACUAAAAAUAUUUAAAUAUGCAAUUACUAAAUAACUAAUCACAAUACAAAUUUGAAACGUAGCACAAGGCGCUUAAUGGCUACUUGAAAUCAGUGAGACACCCCAAAGAAAAAAUCAUGGCUAAUGUCACUGCCAAUGUCUGCAACCUGAAACGGAGUACGGUAGGAAAUGAUGUUGAUUGCGGAAUCUUCGUAAUGCGGCACAUGGAGCAUUAUAUGGGACAAGUGAUAAACCGUUGGGAUUGUGGUUUCUUUCAAGAGG